GACGUAGGGCGCGAGCGUUGUCCGGAUUUAUUGGGCGUAAAGAGCUCGUAGGCGGCUUGUUGCGUCAGCUGUGAAAACCCGCAGCUCAACUGUGGGCCUGCAGUGGGUACGGGCAGACUAGAGUGCGGUAGGGGAGAUUGGAAUUCCUGGUGUAGCGGUGGAAUGCGCAGAUAUCUGGAGGAACACCGGUGGCGAAGGCGACGUCCUGGACCGGCAUUGACGCUGAGGCGCGAAAGCCAGGGGAGCAAACGGG
rnacentral:rRNA from 1 species